rnacentral:rRNA from 1 species
GACGAACGCUGGCGGCGUGCUUAACACAUGCAAGUCGUACGAAGUGGCGAACGGGUGAGUAACGCGUAAUCAACCUGCCCUUCAGAGGGGAACAACAGUUGGAAACGACUGCUAAUACCGCAUCCUGAAGGCGGGGAUUGAGUCUUAUUAGCUAGUGGGAGGGGUAACGGCCCACCAAGGCGAUGAUCGGUAGCCGGGCUGAGAGGAUGAACGGCCACAUUGGGACUGAGACACGGCCCAGACUCCGACGGGAGGCAGCAGGGGGGAAUCUUCCGCAAUGGACGAAAGUCUGACGGAGCAACGCCGCGUGAGUGAUGACGGCCUUCGGGUUGUAAAGCUCUGUUAAUCGGGACGCGGUACCGGAAUAGAAAGCCACGGCUAACUACGUGCCAGCCGCCGCGGUAAUUC